rnacentral:rRNA from 1 species
UACGUAGGGGGCUAGCGUUGUCCGGAAUCAUUGGGCGUAAAGAGCGUGUAGGCGGCUCGGUAAGUCCGCUGUGAAAGUCCAGGGCUCAACCCUGGAAUGCCAGUGGAAACUGUCGAGCUAGAGUCCGGAAGAGGCGAGUGGAAUUCCUGGUGUAGCGGUGAAAUGCGCAGAUAUCAGGAGGAACACCGGUGGCGAAGGCAGGUCUCUGGGCCACUACUGACGCUGAGAAGCGAAAGCAUGGGGAGUAAACAGG